rnacentral:hammerhead_ribozyme from 1 species
ACCCAACUGACGAGUCCCGAACAGGACAAAAAGCGCGUCGUGGAU